UAGAAACCCCCUCUGGUUCUCUUUGAUUCAAAGGAUGCUCUGUGUCUCUCUCUCUCAUCUCAUCCUUUCUGUUUUUACCCAAACAAAGCUUUUUGAGGAUCUUGCAGAUAAAAGAAGAACACCACCCAAUUUUGGCUUCAAGCCAGUAACAAAGUUGCCAAAAAAUCAAAAUUCUAUCAAUCAAUGGCUUUUUUUUCUAAUUGGAAGGGAUUAUUCAACGGCAGACACACUCUCUCAUACCGUACGAGGGUAAAUUGGUAAUAUCACGUCUUCAAUGAAUGUAAAAGAUGCCAUUUACACCAUCACACUAGAGACCUACGUUCUGGAGACUUUUUGUGUAACAGCAGCUGCCUACCUCCCUAAAGCCAUUUAGCCACUACAGUUGAUGGAACUGCUUCAUGGAGCCACAGAAGUUCUAUUUCUAACUACCAAUUUUCCCUUUUGUCCCUCAGAAACUUCAAGGCAGACUGGGGACCAUUUGGUAAUUGCAAAUCCUACUCUUAAAGAUUGGCUCUUUUUUGUGCAGAGAGCCCUUUGGCUUGCAGGGUAGCUGAGGUGAGGAUUGAAGUGAAGAAGACCUGAGACAGUAACAAACUUUGUCGGCCUGCCUGCCCUUUUGUUUAAAAAUUGAAUUUUCAUGGAUAAAGAUAGUUUUUUGGAUGCAUUUAUCAGUUUGUUAUGUUUAGAGAAAGAGAGAGAGAGAGGGUUUUUGCCUUUUGAUCCGCUUUUCCCAUUACUCGUAUUAAUUAAUUCAGGCGGAUGUUAUGGGAUGUGGACUUUUUGUUGUCGUUGUUGCUUCUUCUUCUUCUUUCUUUUUCAUGGGCUCAAAGGCCCUGGUCCUGGUAGACUUUCUGUACUGUACACACAUAAAUAUACAGCAGGUCUAAUCUGAGGGUUUUUGAGUAAUUUGGUGGCAAUUGCUUGCAUUUGGGUUUAGCUGCAAAAGCCAAAAGGUCAAGGAAAGAAGGAAACCACAAAAAUUUAAAGAGGAAAAUGCCGAAAACGUUCAAACAUGACCAUGCCCACGGACUUUUUGGGUUGGAUUUGAACAAGUCAAGCCACCACCACCCGUUGACAUCGUCAUCUCCUUCACAAGCUUCUGCUCGUUUGCGUGAAAAGUUAAUGAUAACUUAAGUUCAAAGACAAAUUUACAGAGCUUACCUACACUUUGGGCAUAUUCUGGGAUCUGUCCUUGUUAAUGGUCUUUUUGGCGGAAAGAAAGAAAAUAAUGAGAACAGUGAUGAUGCGCCUUCAAAGGCAGGAGUUCUUGGAAUAUGAGACUGUGAAGAAGGCACAAAUGCUUGUCCAAGUUGAAGCAGUGCGGGUGCAAAAAGAACUUGCUGUAGCAGAGUUUGAUGGUUACUGCGAAGGGGAGUUAAUAAAGCGCUCUCUCUCUCUCUCUCUCUCUCUUUGGGUAUUUAAUGGUUACUCUUUACUGAGGCUGCAGUGGAAUUAGGACCAGAAAAACUUUCGCUUUUAAUUACUGAGGCAUACAAGGAUGCACACCAGAAGAGUGUCCAGGCUAUGAAGGAAAGGAUAAGCAAUCUUGCCCAGAGUUUAGGACUGCCGCAAGGACUCACUCCUCAGUGAGGAAUCUAAGUGAUGUUACUUAUAUGCAUACUAGUUGGUUGUGUAAGAUGGACAAUUUUGUUUACAAAGGCUCGUUUAUCGUCAUAUGAAAUUCUAAUUAAAGUGAAGCUUUAGAAUCUGUGGCCUUUGUGCUGGCUGUUUACUAAACAACCUGAUGUUUAUCUUCCUCUCACCUCUAUAGU